CGCGGGCGCGCACCCGUGUUUCGUGAGGGAGCCUGUGAGAGAGAGGGGAGGGGAGAUGAGAUGGCGGCCGAGGGGGAGGCGGAGGCGGAGGUGGAGUGGGUGGUAGACAGCAUUGCCGGCUUCCUCCGCAGCCCCUCCUGGUCCAUCCCCAUCCUGGAGUUCGUGGAGCACAAGUGCGAGGUUUUUGAUGAAGAAGAAGAAAGCAAGCUGUCUUACACUGAGAUUCAUCAGGAAUAUAAAGCUCUGGUUGAAAAGCUGUUAGACAGUUACCUUAAAGAAGUUGGAAUCAAUGAAGACAAAUUCCAGGAAGCUUGUAUGUCUCCUCUUGCCAAGACUCGUACCUCACAGGCCAUCUUGCAGCCAGUAUUGGCAGCUGAAGAUUUCAGGUUGUUUAAAGAGAUGAUGGUCCAGAAAAAUAUUGAAAUGCAAUUGCAAGCCAUAAGAAUAAUUCAGGAAAGAAAUGGUGUGCUACCUGAUUGUUUGACAGAUGGGUCUGACGCAUAUACUGAAGUUGAAGAAGAAGAAAUGAAAAUAUUAAGGGAGGUUCUCAGAAAGUCAAAGGAAGAAUAUGAUCUGGAGCAAGAAAGGAAAAGAACUAAUGAGUCACAUGAGAAACAGCGAUCAUCUGAUGGUGCACACAAAUCUCCAGGACAUCUGAGUGAAAGUGCAGGACCUAAAGAGUCUGCUGACCAUACUACAAAACAUUCAUCAGGUCGAGAGGCAAAACACAAACACUUACCUACCCGGGAACUGCCCUCUGCCAAAGUGAAGGAAGAGAGUCGGAAGAAAACCAUAGGGAAUGGCUCUGAAUGUGUAGCAAAGCAAGUGGGGACUGAAGGACGUAAACUAUCAGAACUUGGAGCACAAGAGCUCAGGGAGCGUGAAGACUAUCUAAAGCAGAAACGAGAUGCAUUGAUGGCUUUGAAGAAGGAGUCCAAAACUAAUAUGCCACCGCCGCCACCACCACAAAGUACAGAGCAGAAAGAAGAGCUGUUACCUUCUAAGGAGGGAAUGACAGAAGAAGAGGAGCAAAGGUUGUUAAAGAAAAGAAUCCUUGCAGCAAAACUUAAAGAGGAAGUUAUUAAUAAGCGAUAGUUCAGAGAAGCUGCUUCUAGGAGUUGGGGACAAGAAUGACCGUUUAGUAUUUAACCAUGAACUGAAUUCUUUGCUCACAAACAUUAACAAUCACUCCCCCAGCGCUUCCGGCACCAGAAGGCUAACGUCUACAAAUUUCCAACACAGUAAGAAACACAGCUUAUCCACAUUUCAUGUAACUUUUUAUUAAAAUAGUAUUUAACUGAGA